UGGGAACGCGAAGAACCUUACCUAGACUUGACAUCUCCUGAAUUACCCUUAAUCGGGAAGCCUUCGGGCGAGAAGACAGUGGUGCAUGGUUGUCGUCAGCUCGUGUCGUGAGAUGUUGGGUUAAGUCCCGCAACGAGCGCAACCCUUAUUGUUAGUUGUCUACCAUUUAGUUGAGCACUCUAGCGAGACUGCCCGGGUUAACCGGGAGGAAGGUGGGAUGACGUCAAAUCAUCAUGCCCCUUAUGUCUAGGGCUACACACGUGCUACAAUGGCUGGUACAGAGAGAUGCUAAACCGUGAGGUGGAGCCAAAACUUUAAACCAGUCUCAGUUCGGAUUGUAGGCUGAAACUCGCCUACAUGAAGCUGGAGUUGCUAGUAAUCGCGAAUCAGAAUGUCGCGAUGAAUACGUUCCCGGGUCUUGUAC
rnacentral:rRNA from 1 species